AGAAAAAGUAAAGCUUGUUUCAGUGCAAGGGCUUGUGCUUGAAGAGGAGAAGUACAUCGGACUCGGACAUAACUUGAUUUGUGCGAAGGUAACUUUAUUAUCAAACACAAAACCCAUUACGUAAUUUCAGCUCUAGGUUGCUCCUCUAGAGUAGCAUUUGGAUCUCCAGAUCUCUUUAAAUCAAUCGAAUCAUGUGACUAAAUUCAAGCAGAAAUAGACAAAUUGCACCAAGAGCCACUUAGAUUGCUCCACGGUUCCUUACCUCACGCACAAAUUGCACGAAAUGGCGACUCGACAAAGUGUGAAUUUAUGCGAAACUAAAUGCGGAGAAAAAUAAAAGAUUGCAAGCAAAGCGUAAAUUGUACUGAAGAAGUAAAUUGGGAGAAAAGAAGAAUUAUGUAAUCAAAAGCAGAGAUAAAAAUAGAUCACAAAGUAUCUUGAUUGUCGAAAGAGAGAGAUUUUUAAUCCCAUGUCGCUGGUAUUUGUAAGCCUACUACUAGUAAUAACUGUUCAA